rnacentral:rRNA from 1 species
CCUACGGGGGGCUGCAGUGGGGAAUAUUGGACAAUGGGCGAAAGCCUGAUCCAGCCAUGCCGCGUGUGUGAAGAAGGCCUUCGGGUUGUAAAGCACUUUCAGUGGGGAAGAAAGCCUUGGGGCUAAUACCCUCGAGGAAGGACAUCACCCACAGAAGAAGCACCGGCUAACUCCGUGCCAGCAGCCGCGGUAAUACGGAGGGUGCGAGCGUUAAUCGGAAUUACUGGGCGUAAAGCGCGCGUAGGCGGUCUGAUAAGCCGGUUGUGAAAGCCCCGGGCUCAACCUGGGAACGGCAUCCGGAACUGUCAGGCUAGAGUGCAGGAGAGGAAGGUAGAAUUCCCGGUGUAGCGGUGAAAUGCGUAGAGAUCGGGAGGAAUACCAGUGGCGAAGGCGGCCUUCUGGACUGACACUGACGCUGAGGUGCGAAAGCGUGGGUAGCAAACAGGAUAAGAUACCCGGGUAGUC